rfam:Elusimicrobia bacterium GWA2_62_23 gwa2_scaffold_956, whole genome shotgun sequence.
GGAAGGAUGGCCGAGCGGUUUAAGGCGCCGGUCUUGAAAACCGGUGUGCGGUUAAUCCGCACCGUGGGUUCGAAUCCCACUCCUUCCG